rnacentral:rRNA from 1 species
UACGUAGGGGGCAAGCGUUGUCCGGAUUUACUGGGCGAAAGCGCGUGUAGGUGGGAGUGCAAGUCCGGUGGGAAAGCCCGCGGCUCAACCGCGGAAGGUCGCUGGAAACUGUGCUUCUUGAGGGUGAUAGAGGGAAGUGGAAUUGCUGGUGUAGCGGUGAAAUGCGUAGAUAUCAGCAGGAACACCCGUGGCGAAGGCGGCAUCCUGGACCAACACUGACGCUGAGGAGCGAAAGCCAGGGGAGCAAACGGG